GGUGAAGUGGCUGAGCUUAGGCAAUAAAUUGUAAAUUUAUGAACGAAAUAUUUUUUCCUUCACCA
rnacentral:tRNA from 1 species